rnacentral:rRNA from 1 species
UACGAAGGGGGCUAGCGUUGUUCGGAAUCACUGGGCGUAAAGGGCGCGUAGGCGGCUGUUCAAGUCGGGGGUGAAAGCCCGAGGCUCAACCUCGGAACUGCCUUCGAUACUGCGGGUCUCGAGUCCGGGAGAGGUGAGUGGAAUUCCUAGUGUAGAGGUGAAAUUCGUAGAUAUUAGGAAGAACACCAGUGGCGAAGGCGGCUCACUGGCCCGGUACUGACGCUGAGGCGCGAAAGCGUGGGGAGCAAACAGG